GAAUGGCGUGAAAAUGUACAAGGAAAGAGGCAAAGAUAUUAAGAGACAAAAAUAAAGAAAAAUAAUUGGAAAUUUGACUUUCCGGGGCCGGGCACCAUUGUUCGUGCUUUAGUCCAACCUUUU
rnacentral:ribozyme from 1 species